ACGGACACAUCACGUUGAAACACCGAUUCCCGUACGAUCACCGAAGUUAAGCAACGACGAGCCUAGUCAGUAUCUAGAUGGGCAACCGUUUGGGAAUACCAGGUGCUGUAAG